rnacentral:rRNA from 1 species
GACGAACGUUGGCGGCGUGCUUAAUACAUGCAAGUCAACUGAAGCAGUGGUAGCAAUAUCGCUGUGGAGGUGGCGCACGGGUGAGUAACACGUAGGUAAUCUGCCUUCAGGUCUGGCAUAACUCCGGGAAACCGGGGCUAAUAGCAGAUGAUGCAGCGGCUCGACAUCGAGACAGUUGUUAAAGCUAUGGCGCCUGAAGAUGAGCCUGCGUCUGAUUAGCUAGUUGGCGGGGUAACGGCCCACCAAGGCAGCGAUCAGUAGCUGGUCUGAGAGGAUGAUCAGCCACACUGGAACUGAGACACGGUCCAGACUCCUACGGGAGGCAGCAGUAAGGAAUAUUGCUCAAUGGGAGAAAUCCUGAAGCAGCAACGCCGCGUGAGGGACGAAGGGCUUUUGCUUGUAAACCUCUGUAGUGAGAGAAAAAAAUCCCAAUCUUUGGGACAUGAUGGUAUCUCAAAAGUAAGCCUCGGCUAACUACGUG